CACGUAGGAGGCGAGCGUUGUCCGGAAUCAUUGGGCGUAAAGAGCGCGCAGGCGGCUUGGCAAGUCGGGUGUGAAAUCCCGGGGCUCAACCCCGUGACUGCAUCCGAUACUGUCAGGCUAGAGGUAGGUAGGGGAGAUCGGAAUUCCUGGUGUAGCGGUGAAAUGCGCAGAUAUCAGGAGGAACACCGAUGGCGAAGGCAGGUCUCUGGGCCACUACUGACGCUGAGAAGCAGAAGAGCAUGGGAGCGAACAG
rnacentral:rRNA from 1 species